AAGUUGGGUUGGCGGGUCAUCCUGAAUAUGCUUACAUGCUUAUUUAGACUUGCGCUGUAAGCAGGUUCAGGACGUAGUCUCAUUCUGUUUGUGCUUAUGCACCACAAAGGUCACAACUUCAAUCUCGCGCGAUUCUUAUGUCUGUGCACUGCACCUCUCACAAUCUGUGCAAAAACUCAAAUGCCAAAUCAGCUGGAUGCACAGUGUGACAUGUAACUGCACUGAUGUCGCAAGGACGAAGGCAAUGUAUGAUGCAUGUCCAGUGAAAAAUGGUGAUGACAGGUGUGUGCACAGAGAUGCACAACACACAUCUAGCCUCCUUUAAGGAUUCUGUACCUUUGGUGUCACAGUGGCACAUACCCAUUCUUAUGGAUUAGCCAAGAAUAGGCACACACCCUCAGGUGCAUACUGAAUGGCUAGCUAAAAUAAAAUCAAGUAAAUCAAAGGAUCCCAUUGAAUAAUGCAAUUAUUACAUUAAGGGGUCGGUUUGUUUGAGAUGCCUCUGAAAUGACAUUAUAUGUUCAGUUUUUUAUGUAGGAAUUCACUUUUCUAUUGUGCAGAACAGAGGUUACAGGCACCACUUUGUCGGUGCCAAUCAGCGUACAGGGCUUGUGUACGCUUGUUUGCUGGUACUUGCAUUCAGCACACAUAUAACCUUCACGUACCAUGUGUCCCACGUAAAAAGGUGUAAGCAACUCGUCAUGCGGCACUUUUUUCCCGUUUUCUUACUCGCAGUAUUACCCGCCGUGGUUGCUCAGUGGCUAUGGUGUUCGGCUGCUGAGCACAAGGUCGCAGGAUCGAAUCCCGGCCACGGCGGCCUCAUUUCGAUGGGGGCGAAAUGCGAAAACUCCCGUGUACUUUGCGCUUACUUGGUGAACGUUAAAGAACCCCAGGUGGUCAAAAUUUCCGGAGUCCCCCGCUAUGGCGUGCCUCAUAAUCAGAAAGUGGUUUUGGCGUGUAAAACCCCAUAAUUUAAUAUUUUUUUUUUACUCAUGGUAUUAAGUACAACACGAUGGGACGCUGAACUUAAGCGUAAUGUCCCUGAUGUCUACACUUGUUAGAUAAGGGACAAAGGAUAUGCAAACCCAUUGCUGCAGUAUGUGAAUCAUGCAAGCUGCAUGCAUCGGUCUUAUGUCCUUUUUAAAACAAAGCUUUCUUUGCCUCUUCCUUCGACUUUCCCACUACUGCUGCUGCUGUCUGGCACACUGCGUCGGGAGGUGGUUCAGAGCGUGUGCAUACAUUAGGAGUGCUGCAGAGAGGAAAGGCGACGUGAGAAACUCGUUUGGACCUUUGCACCAUGUCGAAUGUGCACAAUCCCCUCUGAAGCUCCCUGGCCAUUGCCACAUUAGCGUCUUGACAGCUGUAAUUAGCCAUGACUCCCGCGAAGGCAUUGCAGAAAUUGCAGUGCUUACCUUCCUCCUAACGUGCGAGUCCAGAGAGAAGCUAGAUAGAAUAAUAGGGAGGGGGGGUGAGAGGAGCCAGAGAAUGGGUAGAAGCAACGCAGUCACAUAAACGAGUGAAUAACACCUUGCCACUCUUCGCUCGCAGUUCCCACACAAGUGGUGAGAGGGGGGAUAGGGAAAAGGUGAUGUAGAAGGCAAGAAAACGCUACUACUAGACACAACGGUGGUUGCGAGAAAAUGGGAUAAAUUUAAUUUCGAGGCUCGGUACAGUGCAUUCCUGCUAUUUCUGAAAAAUAAACACUGUGUAAAUACAUCGAGCGGACAACUUACGCAGGGCAUGCAGAAGCAAAGCUGCAUUAAAGUGCACCGUAGGGUCUAGACAACAAUACAGAAGUGGUUGCACAUCAAAUCAACACUUCUGUGCCCACCACGGUAGCUUUGUGGCUAUGGCAUUGCUCCAGGUUGCGAGUUUGAUCCCGAUCGUUGCAGCCGCAUUUCAACGGGAGCAGAAAAAAAGAAAUGUGUGUGCACUUAGAUUUAGGGAUACGUUAAAGAGCACUACGGUGUCAAAAUUAUUCCAAAGUCCACCAUUACGGUGUGCCUCAUAAUCUGACUGUGGUUUUGCCACGCACAGUUCCAUAAUUCAACUAAAGUUUAAUACUUCUGCCACGAUUCAAUGUGCCAUAUGGGGCAAUGACAAUGCUUAACCCUCUCAGAGGUUACUAAAUAUGGCACACAACAAAGCCUCAAGCAAACACAUCUUCCUGUGUGUUCUGUGUACUAAGCAGACAAACAGCAGUGGUGCAUACAAGGUAACGUUUAACGUAAACUCACAACUCUCGUGUUAGACUAAAUGUUUAAGCUUUUGCCGUGAACAUCACUGUUAAUUAUCGUCAAUCGAAUCAAACAGCACAGAAAGCUUCGCGCACAUGGAUUCCUACAGAGCGUGGAAUCCGCAUUAUUUUUUUUAUAUUUAUUUACGUCUGUGCCUCGCAACAAACUCAUCCCCAAACCAACCAUCGGCAUUAAUAGCACUCUGUGCUUUGCUGUUGGAACUAACUUGUGCUACGAUCCUUCCACCUCCUGCACCUCAAUACUCAUGAUCUGUUCUUUUUCUAAGUUUAGGAAAAAGGUGCUGUUGCAGCCGCCCUUUCUGUCCAAAACCGCAACAAACAGCUGGGAAAAUAUGGAGGGGAAAGUUUAUCUGCUUUUUCUGGUAACUCAAACUAUAGUCCAGCAAAGGUGGAGCUAUAUCAGCAGCAGCAGGUCACACAGCCUACAAGCUUUUGUCGGCAUCAGUGCAUCUCACUUUUGUGCAUCUCUCUUCAGAAAAAUGGUUACAGUGUGCGAGGUAGGUUCUCCAUAAGGAGAAAAGCACUCGAAUUUUUCAGCAUGCUACCCAUGCAGAAAUGAUGGCAAGUUGACAUUCAAAAUCGAAAAGAUAAGCUUUGAUGUGAGAGAGAACAGCUGGCAUGUGAGGCGAAAUUUUAAAGCUGCAGAAAAAGAAAAGAAAAACAAUAAGAACAAAAUAUUUGGUGACUAUUCUCCAAAAUGGCCUGUGCAGUUGUCAAAGGAGAAAUUCACUCGCAUAAAACGCAGCCAGCAGGUGUCGCACUCGCAGACGUACAGUGUGACCCACCUUUGAAGCGUACACCCAAUUAAAUAUGGCUACUGACUACCGCUGAAUCAUAGCAUGAAGGCAUGCAGACUACAUUUUAAUGCACAGAUGUCGGUCUCGUGCAUCUUAUCCAUAGGUCGGCAAACAAUGUGAGUAGACUCACUCGGACUCACUCAGGACCGUAUGUUAGUCUGAGUCUGAGUAACCUCGACUUAUUACCACAAGUGAGACAUACCUAUUUAACUAAAGCGCUAAAAAGAGGUAGGACGAGAACAAGAAUGGCUCAGGAUGUGAAGCUAGUGGAAUUCUGGAAUACUAUAGACCUACCAGUGAAACAUUUUUUUCUGACCGACUCGGCCUAGGCAUGCGAGUCUGGGUGAGUGGAGGUCGUCCGUGUAGUAGGUGUAAGUUUGAGUCCAAGUCCCAUUGAACUGGAGAUAGUUUCAGUGAGAUUAGGUACUUUUGAAUGAGGUGUGAUUUCAUGUGUUUUUUUUUACUUCACAGGACUACAUGCAAGAGUGAUUUCAUAUGAUUUCGAGUGAAUCUGUUUGUAACCAGGAGCAGUGCCCAUUGGAAACAGUGAGCUUGAGGAAACACUGGAACGACCCUGCUUAAAUUGAAGCAUAGUAUGCGAAUGACCUGCUACACUCGGAACUGUUAUCACCACUCGGGAAGAAAUCGGGUAAGACGCUUGUCUGGUUGUCACUGCGGAAAAGUCAUAAUUCAUUCUAAGUCGCUUUUGUUCCUUCUCACAGAUGAAAAAACAAAACUGUAAAUACCCAGUACUGUAGGAUAUACGUCUGCUGCAUUAUAGGUAAGAAUGGACUGUGUGUGGCACAUCCCCACAUGUGGACCAGAGUAGAUCUAGGAACAUCGGACAAAAAGACACACACGUGAAGCACUGCAGAUAACCGAUAUUUUGUAUGAGCACUCUAACUAUCCAAGUUACACUCUCGACGGGAACAGAGAAAUGCCGGAUACUGUACCAUUCAGAGCCAAGAACAUGGGCAUGGCCGAAAGAGAGCCUCCCAGGCAGUAUGGGAAACUCUCACAGCAGACCAGCACUGUCUUUCAGCUGUAUCAUACUAUUUCAGUGAACCAAGACUACUUGCAAAUUGUUAACACUGCUGCGAAAAAAUUAAUGUAUUUUAUGGUUACAAAAUAAACACCUAAAAAGAGAAAACAUUGCAUUCACGUGUUUCUUCUGUUGCGUGUUACGUAUUUAUACUAACGAGUACAGAGAAUAAUUAGUGGCAUUUAAUUAUGUUUCACAUGUGAAUUACGUGCAUAUUGCAUAUAUUAAUUGUCAGCAUGAGUUAAACGCCUCUAAUAAACUGUAUAUCGUUGACCUGAAAAGGCAACACGCAGCAAAAAAAGAAAUACCUGAUGUGUUUUUUUAACAUAAUAAAAAAAAAAAAGACACAUCUUCACCCAGCUGAUGGCCAACGGCAAACCGGUGCUUACAAAAUGUUGAGUCGUAGUCGGCUACAGUGGUCGGGCCUAAGUCACUUGCCGGUGGUCGCUACAUGUGAGGCCAGUAUCAAUCCCUGAUGCCGGCCCCCCAUCAGGCGCCGAGGUCGGGCCAACCAUUUUUCAGCUGGCCAGAGACGUCAGACAGAUUUUCUAACGGGGACUUUCUGCUGCUUGAGUAUGUGUCUGCAGAAUUUCAUGAUUCACAGAUGGCAUGGGGAUAUAUGCGGCAGGUUACACAAAAAAGCUAUCGCUGACUCUGACAAUCAUGUUUGAUGGCUUCUGCCACUAUUUUUCCUUUGUUGUUUCUUGGUUGGUGGUUCUCCCUUUUUACUUCUAUUUCUACUGCUUGUUUUUAAAACAUCUGAACCGUUUAUCAUAUGAGUUUUUGUUUUUCUGAAAAACUGGGCACACCUGCAGAUUGACAGUUCCUGCUUACACACAUAGAUCCUUUUCCAUUUCUUGUCAUCCAAACUUUUUGCAGGAACCAACAGCAGUACCCCCCAGUGCUUUCUCUAUCACAGCUGAACAACAAACUCCAUUUUUCUUCCUUUGUUCUUUGAACACUUUGACUUUCCCUACCCUACUCUAUGCACCAGCUUAUUCUUCUCCUCCCCCAUUUAGGAUGAGGGAGAAAGAGAGAGAGAGCUACGUUUGCGUAGAUGCCGCAAAGGAAAGCAGUUGCUGCCCUGGCAAGGACAAGUCCUCUUGUUGAAGCAGUGGCUACAGCGACAUCUUUGUUCAACAACUCUGGCUACAGGAAUGCACUUCGGGACGACUUCGCUGACCUUUACUUUUUAUAUGCUUAGUCUGUAUCCCUCUCUCCUCUGGCUGACUUCCGAUUUUUUUUUUUAAGUUUUCUCUCUCUGUACAGUUGUGUGCAGACUAUUUAAUUAUAUAGUUAUAUCUGCAUGUAAACUACAACCACGGUUACAGUGCAUUCG